AUUGAACGCUGGCGGCAUGCCUUACACAUGCAAGUCGAACGGCAGCGGACCUUCGGGUGCCGGCGAGUGGCGAACGGGUGAGUAAAGUAUCGGAACGUACCUUUCAGUGGGGGAUAACGUAGCGAAAGUUACGCUAAUACCGCAUAUUCUGUGAGCAGGAAAGCAGGGGAUCGCAAGACCUUGCGCUGCUUGAGCGGCCGAUAUCAGAUUAGCUAGUUGGUGAGGUAAAGGCUCACCAAGGCGACGAUCUGUAGCGGGUCUGAGAGGAUGAUCCGCCACACUGGAACUGAGACACGGUCCAGACUCCUACGGGAGGCAGCAGUGGGGAACUUUGGACAAUAGGGGCAACCCUGAUCCAGCCAUGCCGCGUGAGUAAAGAAGGCCUUCGGGUUGUAAAGCUCUUUCGGCCGGGAAGAAAUCGCGCCAGUUAAUACCUGGUGUGGAUGACGGUACCGGAAUAAGAAGCACCGGCUAACUACGUGCCAGCCGCCGCGGUAAAAC
rnacentral:rRNA from 1 species